rfam:Gaeumannomyces graminis var. tritici R3-111a-1 unplaced genomic scaffold supercont2.3, whole genome shotgun sequence.
GGUUGUAUGGCGCAAUAGUAACGCGUUCGCUUUCGUAGCGGAAGGUUUUGGGUUUAACUUCCGGUGCAACCU